rnacentral:rRNA from 1 species
CACCUGGGGAGUACGUCGGCAACGAUGUAACUCAAAGGAAUUGACGUGGGCCCGCACAAGCGGAGGUACAUGUGGUUUAAUUCGAUGAUACGCGAGGAACCUUACCUGGGCUUACAUGCAGGCUGCAUUCAUGUGAAAGCGUGAUUUCCUACGGGACUGCCUGCAAGGUGCUGCAUGGUUGUCGUCAGCUCGUGCCGUGAGGUGUCGGGUUAAGUCCCAUAACGAGCGCAACCCCUAUCGCUAGUUGCCAGCAUGUAAUGGUGGGGACUCUAGCGAGACUGCCGGUGUAAACCGGAGGAAGCUGGGGAUGACGUCAAAUCAGCACGGCCCUUACGUCCAGGGCUACACACGUGUUACAAUGGCCGGUACAAAGAGCAGCGACCUGGCGACAGGGUGCUAAUCUUUAAAGCCGGUCUCAGUUCGGAUCGAAGUCUGCAAUUCGACUUCGUGAAGGUGGAUUCGCUAGUAAUCGCGCAUCAGCCAUGGCGCGGUGAACAAGUUCCCGGGCUUUGUACACACCGCCCGUCAAGCCAUGGAAGCCGGGGGUACCUGAAGUCCGUAACCGA